AUACUUUACCUGGACGGGGUCAAUGGGUGAUCAAGGAGGCCCAUGGCCUGGGUAGGUGGCUUCCAUUGCACUUGGGAGGCGCAUCUGCCUAAGGUCUCCCCAAGUGGGAGAGUCUAUGUCAUAAUUUGUUGUAGUGGGGGCCUGCGUUCUCGUGGCCCCUG